rnacentral:rRNA from 1 species
UACGUAGGGAGCAAGCGUUGUCCGGAAUCAUUGGGCGUAAAGCGCGCGUAGGUGGCCACAUAAGUCCGUUGUGAAAGUCAAAGGCUCAACCUUUGAAAGCCGAUGGAUACUGUGUGGCUAGAGUACGGAAGAGGCGAGUGGAAUUCCUGGUGUAGCGGUGGAAUGCGCAGAUAUCAGGAGGAACACCAAUAGCGAAAGCAGCUCUCUGGGACGGUACUGACGCUGAGACGCGAAAGCGUGGGGAGCGAACAGG